UGACGGGGGCCCGCACAAGCGGUGGAGCAUGUGGUUUAAUUCGAAGCAACGCGAAGAACCUUACCAGGUCUUGACAUACUCGUGCUAUCCUUAGAGAUAAGGAGUUCCUUCGGGACACGGGAUACAGGUGGUGCAUGGUUGUCGUCAGCUCGUGUCGUGAGAUGUUGGGUUAAGUCCCGCAACGAGCGCAACCCUUAUUACUAGUUGCCAUCAUUAAGUUGGGCACUCUAGUGAGACUGCCGGUGAUAAACCGGAGGAAGGUGGGGAUGACGUCAAAUCAUCAUGCCCCUUAUGACCUGGGCUACACACGUGCUACAAUGGAUGGUACAACGAGUCGCCAACCCGCGAGGGUGCGCUAAUCUCUUAAAACCAUUCUCAGUUCGGAUUGCAGGCUGCAACUCGCCUGCAUGAAGUCGGAAUCGCUAGUAAUCGCGGAUCAGCACGCCGCGGUGAAUACGUUCCCGGGCCUUGUACACACCGCCCGUCACACCACGGAAGUUGGGAGUACCCAAAGUAGGUUGCCUAACCGCAAGGAGGGCGCUUCCUAAGGUAAGACCGAUGACUGGGGUGAAGUCGUAACAAGGUAGCCGUAUCGGAAGGUGCGGCUGGAUCACCUCCUUUCUAAGGAA
rnacentral:rRNA from 2 species